UUAGCCUUUCUAAAUAUUUAAUUAAUUUUCAUUUUAUAUAACAUGAUUUGCUUUUAGUAAAAAUGUUUUUUAGUUUUUAUAAAUAACCGAAGAUAUAUCUUUUUUUCUUACGGUAUAAAAUGGGUUGCACAUUGACCCGGCAUUUCAUUUGAGCAAACUUUUUCUAGAUUCAUCCGAGGUCAAUAUCGUAACUUCGUGUGAUUGUUUAACCCUAAAAGGAGCAGCCUAUAUAAUGAAAUGAAGCACUCCAACCCCUCAAAAGCCAAUCCUGAUUUAGGUCUGCUAGGCACGCCGUUAUGGAUCUUAUAUAUCGAUUUUCUCAAAUUCUAUUUCAUGCUCUGCAAAUUGCAUCAUCAAAAUCGCUGGUUAAUGUUCAUAGAGGUUGAAAAAGUUGAUCUUGUAGAUGAAUUCGAUAUUUACUUAUUCUUUUCAAUGGAUUUAGUUGGUGAAAUAUUGUAGAUGGAUUUUCAGAUUUCUUUCGGCCGUGAUUUCCCUGUUUAAAAUGGUCGGUAUAAUCUGUUUAUGAUUUAAUCGGAUGACACAAUAUACAUCUAAGGUAAGGUGGAAGAUGCAUAGGGUGUUGUCAAAAUCAUAAAUGGUAGAUUGUUUUUGUUGUUGCAAGAAAGGUAGGUUGGAAGAGCGCAAACAUUUUGUUAGGAAGAUGCGGAGGGUGUUAUCAUCUAAGCCGAGACCGUUAUCAUCUUUAUAUUCAGAUCAUUUAACCUUGCAACUAUUAAAACAUAUUUUUUGUUUUGUUAUUCCGUUUUUUGUUUUAUUGUAUCGAUAUUAUUAAGGGCGUUGUCAAAAUCAUACUUAUAUAAAUUAUUACAUAUUUUGUUA